rnacentral:rRNA from 1 species
AUACGUAGGGGGCGAGCGUUGUCCGGAAUGAUUGGGCGUAAAGGGCGCGUAGGCGGCCCGGUAAGUCUGGAGUGAAAGUCCUGUUUUUAAGAUGGGAAUUGCUUUGGAUACUGUCUGGCUUGAGUGCAGGAGAGGUAAGUGGAAUUCCCAGUGUAGCGGUGAAAUGCGUAGAGAUUGGGAGGAACACCAGUGGCGGAGGCGACUUACUGGACUGUAACUGACGCUGAGGCGCGAAAGUGUGGGGAGCAAACAGGAUUAGAUACCCUGGUAGUCCACACUGUAAACGAUGAAUGCUAGGUGUAGGGGGUAUCGACCCCUUCUGUGCCGCAGUCAACACAAUAAGCAUUCCGCCUGGGGAGUACGGCCGCAAGGUUGAAACUCAAAUGAAUUGACGGGG